UCCCGCUGCCCUCCUUGGGCGUUUCCUCCCUAGACUUGGGCCGCACCGCGUGUGCGGCCUUUUUUCUGCGCGCU
rfam:Methylobacterium nodulans ORS 2060, complete genome.